UGGGGAAUAUUGGGCAAUGGGGGGAACCCUGACCCAGCAACGCCGCGUGAAGGAAGAAGGUUUUCGGAUUGUAAACUUCUGUCCUAUGAGACGAAGGAAGUGACGGUAUCAUAGGAGGAAGCCCCGGCUAACUACGUGCCAGCAGCCGCGGUAAUACGUAGGGGGCGAGCGUUGUCCGGAAUGAUUGGGCGUAAAGGGCGCGUAGGCGGUCUGAUAAGUCUGGAGUGAAGUCCUGCUUUCAAGGUGGGAAUUGCUUUGGUACUGUCGGGCUGGAGUGCAGGAGAGGUAAGCGGAAUUCCCGGUGUAGCGGUGAAAUGCGUAGAGAUCGGGAGGAACACCAGUGGCGAAGGCGGCUUACUGGACUGUAACUGACGCUGAGGCGCGAAAGCGUGGGGAGCAAACAGGAUUAGAUACC
rnacentral:rRNA from 1 species